rnacentral:lncRNA from 1 species
GUGGGGCUGCCUCCCGGUAGGGUCUAGCACCCUGCGUGGCUCCCGCUCUGCGGGGCAAAGGACGGGGACGGGAUGGAGUCCCGGGGCAAGGGAGCCCCGCUGCCCUCGGUGCCAAUCAGGGAUCCCGCAGAACCGGCCUGAGGCCGGGGCAGGCCAAGGGGCACGAAGAGGGGGGCGGGGCGGGGCCAGGACCCUGUCCCGGACCCCCUGUCCCACUCCCGGCGCCACGGGGCCGCUCCCAGGGCAAGAGCAGCCCCACAUCCCCCACCGCGCCCGCCCGAGCUAAGAGGGCUCCGCAGGCGCGACAGCCCCUUCCCGCGGAGCGGGUUCCGGGGCCCUGCGGUUUCCUGUCUCGCUCUGCGUAGGCCCGACAAGGCCGGGCCGCGGGCUGUACAGCACUAACCAUCUGACAUGACAGGAGCAUGCCAGUAGCAGGCAGCUCCAGGCAUCUCCCCUGGCUCCAGCGCUCUCUGCCAUGACCCCCAGGAGCCCUCCAUCCUGCUCCGCAUGGCCUCAUCCCUCCCAGCUCGGCCUGGGAAGGAUGCUCAGCGAUGGCUGGAGCAGCUGGCCAGAUCUUGCUUUUAUUGCAGACCCAGCACUGGAAACUGGAGAAACUGGACAUCCUCACCCCUUUUCUCACCUUCUUGGGGACCAUCCUGUGGAACUCUAGCUGCUGUGUGUCAGCCAGCUGAAGGCCAAGCUGGACGGCCAGUAGCAUCCCAGUGGAUGGACGGUGAAGCCCCUAUGCAUCUGGUUGGACCUCAUCUUGACCUUCUGGCCAGGGCAUCCUGUGGUGAUGGGCCCCAGACACAUAUUCCCUAUGAGCGCCUGAGUGCCUGCAAGAAGAAGAGAUUUCCUGCCAGUCCUUCCCUUCUCCCCUCUGCACCAGGAGAGCUGAGCAGGAGGUGGCCAUGCUGGAACCCCAUGACACAGCCAGAACCCUUCUUGGGGUGCAGAAUGCCUAUCCUUCUGGGCAGGAUCCAUGUGUCCAUGAUGUCUAUUCCAUCUGCUGGGCUUGUCCCACCCCUGCAGUGCUGGCGGGGAUGCUUCUUGCUGCACAGGUGA